rnacentral:misc_RNA from 1 species
UUUCCGUAGGUGAACCUGCGGAAGGAUCAUUAAUGAAUAAACUUGGUGGGUUGUAGCUGGCUCUUUGAAGCAUGUGCACGCUCAUCAUCUUUAUAUCUAUCCACCUGUGCACACUCUGUAGUCUUGAGGGAUUUGAGAAAGUGGAUCAAUUGAUUUUGGUCUAUCAGUAUCAUCUCUUUCGAGUUCUAUGUGUCUUCAUACACUACAUAGCCUGUCGCAGAAUGUAUUUAAUGGGCCUUUGUGCCUAUAAAAAGUUUAUACAACUUUCAGCAACGGAUCUCUUGGCUCUC